ensembl:lncRNA RNF32-DT RNF32 divergent transcript
GCACGGCGUCAGCGUCUAGACGCAGGCUUGCAGCGGGCGGUGUCGUUCACGCUCCUGAGCAGAGCCUUCCGGUGCUUUACUCGACGCCACAAAUAGUGCAGGGUUCCUCCCAGGGGCUGUCGCGAGCUAGAACUCUUCCCCGCCCCUGUGAGCUCGGGCUGUUCUUCCUCCUCCGCGUGGCUCACUCCAGCCUCGGAUGUUUCCUCGCUGCACAGACCUGCUCGGGAAGACUCGAGAAGGCCACCCCAGGACUCCAGCUCUCCCCGGAAGGGCUUCCCCUCGGAUUGCGUCUUGGCCCCUGGAACCCUCCCUCUGUAUCCUCUGCUGUUCCUCUCUUGGCCUCCAUUUGGGUUGUGGCCUGGAUACUCUGGCUCGCUGCUUCCCUUCUCUUAAGGAUCACAGCCCUGCACUGCCUGUCGUCCGGUGCCUGGAAACCAUUGUAUUUUUUGGUCUGAUUUUGUAGUUGUUUGAGAACUUAAGUCUGGUCCCUCACACUCCAUGCCCAGAAGCAGAAAUGAGUAAAGUUUGUUUUAUCUUUUCUUAAUAUGACAAUUAUUGUGUUGGUUCAACUUAUGUUGUACUUUAAUUAGAAGAAAUUUGGCCGAAAAUACAAGGAAAAUAUACAAAUGCAAGUAAUUUUUUUUAAACUUCCCUGAAAGCAGGGUCUAAAGAAAUUACCAACCAACUUAGACUGGAUCUAGAAGAAAAGGAAGGGUCUUUGCAGUCUUAGGACUCUUCCGUUCCGCGACGUAGGUGUUAGGAUAACAGCCAUAAAUGGUUGUAAGACUUUGGGCUCAGAUAAGUAGACUUAAGUUCAAAUUUUGACUUAUUUUACAAGUGUGUGAUUUUUGGCAAGCUCAUCUUCCUAAACCAUGAGCUCCUUAUUUGUAAAGGGGACAUUAGCCACUCUCCAGCAACAGCCCUGGUACUUCUUCAGUCCUGGGAUGGGACGUAUGAUUAGCCUAAGCGAACCAGAAAAUCCAGGCCCGUGACCAGUGACUUGAUCAGGGCUGGCGAUAUAUCUAGGUAGGCCAACCAGGUGGACUCAGUAUUUUUGUGGGUGCUACUGGAAAAUUUAUUUAAUUCUAACUGAAUGUAGAAACAGCAACAGACAUGAAAUGGCAGUUGUAUUGCUGUCUUAUCAUGAGGUGAGGGCCUGAAGCUAUGGUAGCCACCCUGUGAACCUUGGAAGGAGGGUUCUACAGGAACUGGCAGAGCUGAGACUGGGACGCAACCCAUGUCCUGGUGACGUAUUUGAGUCCUGAGGCUGGCCCUCCUGUUAGUCUUUUCUCUUACUGGCUUCAGCCAGAUGGGGUCUGGUUUUCUGUUACUUGCAACAGGAAAAAUUGGAAUGAUAUCUAUGCAUGCUAUUACCGCCUUAUGGCUGUGGUGAGAUUAAAACAUGAUACUGUGGGUGAACUGCUUAGUACAGUGCCUGCUAUUCUUUAUGUUGGUUUUAAGGUAUUUUUCUUGAACUUUAAAGUUCUAAGAAAAAUUACCGUUUUAAAAUUCCUACCCUCUGUUCACAUGUUUAAAUUUUCAUGAUAGUUUUUCUGUCUGCAUGUUUUCU